AAGCACUCAGGCAAUUAAUUUCACAGGAACUUCAAUUAGGGCUUAUAGAACCCUCUCUUAGUCAAUGGAACACCCCGAUUUUUGUUAUACAGAAGCGCUCCGGUGCCUUCUGCCUGUUGCACGACUUGGGCGCGGUCAGUGCCCAACUUGUGUCUUUUGGGGCAGUGCAGCAGGGUGGACCAGUUUUGUCAGCCAUACCCAAGGAAUGGCCGCUGGUGGUCAUAGAUCUUAAAGAUGGCUUUUUCUCCAUUCCUCUUGCGGAAGAAGAUUGGGAGGCGUUUGCCUUUAU
rfam:Gallus gallus isolate RJF #256 breed Red Jungle fowl, inbred line TCD001 chromosome 4, whole genome shotgun sequence.